rnacentral:rRNA from 1 species
AACGAACGCUGGCGGCAGGCCUAACACAUGCAAGUCGAGCGCGCCCUUCGGGGUGAGCGGCGGACGGGUGAGUAACGCGUGGGAAUAUGCCUUCUGGUACGGAAUAGCCUUGGGAAACUGAGAGUAAUACCGUAUGUGCCCUUAGGGGGAAAGAUUUAUCGCCAGGAGAUUAGCCCGCGUUGGAUUAGGUAGUUGGUGGGGUAAUGGCCUACCAAGCCUACGAUCCAUAGCUGGUUUGAGAGGAUGAUCAGCCACACUGGGACUGAGACACGGCCCAGACUCCUACGGGAGGCAGCAGUGGGGAAUCUUAGACAAUGGGGGCAACCCUGAUCUAGCCAUGCCGCGUGAGUGAUGAAGGCCUUAGGGUUGUAAAGCUCUUUCAGCUGGGAAGAUAAUGACGGUACCAGCAGAAGAAGUCCCGGCUAACUCCGUGCCAGCCGCCGCCGUAAAAC